CCCUCUAGCCUCAUGGGUGCGGACUGCAGUCGCACGGGCCGUUACUAUAAUGGACCCACCCGCGUCACCCGCGUCAUGCCCCUGGCGCUGCUACUGCUGCUGCCACUGCUGGUUGUUUUCGCUGCGGUAAAUGCACGUGAGUGCAGCGAUGCAGUCCCGCUCAAUACCCCACAAUAAAGAAGCGACAUUACAUCUUUAUCGCCGUGUAAUUACUUUUAAAGAGGAGGGCUGUCCGAGCCUAUUAAGCUUUAGGUUGG
rnacentral:lncRNA from 1 species